rnacentral:rRNA from 1 species
CCUACGGGAGGCAGCAGUAGGGAAUUUUCCACAAUGGGCGCAAGCCUGAUGGAGCAAUCCCGCGUGAAUGAUGAAGGUCCUACAAGAUUGUAAAAUUCUUUUAUUGGGGAAGAAAAAUAAAAAAAGGAAAUGUUUUUUAUUUUGACGGUACCCUUUGAAUAAGUAUCGGCUAGCUAUGUGCCAGCAGCCGCGGUAAUAAU